rnacentral:tRNA from 1 species
UACAGAUAGUUCUGUCAGUAGAGCAUGAGAUUCUUAAUCUCACGGUUGUGGGUUUGAGCCCCACAUGGGGCAAAA